GUUCGCGCUUUUCGGUCAUCCGUCGCUUGUGCUUUCCUCAUUGGCUGUUCAGAGUAUGACGGUUUGCUUGAAGGAAAUUACAAUCUUUCUUUGGAUUAAGUCGUUUGGAUUUAUUGAAAACUUUUUUACGAACUGCGCCGAAAAAGCGAGCAGUAUUGACUCGAAACUCACGCUUGAAAAGUUUGCUGAAAG